CCUACGUGAGGCUGCAGUGGGGAAUAUUGGGCAAUGGGCGCAAGCCUGACCCAGCAACGCCGCGUGAAGGAAGAAGGCUUUCGGGUUGUAAACUUCUUUUCUCAGGGACGAAGCAAGUGACGGUACCUGAGGAAUAAGCCACGGCUAACUACGUGCCAGCAGCCGCGGUAAUACGUAGGUGGCAAGCGUUAUCCGGAUUUACGGGGUGUAUAGGGCGUGUAGGCGGGACUUCAAGUCAGAGGUGAAAACCAUGGGCUCAACCUAUGGCUUGCAGUGGAAACUGUAGUUCUUGAGUACUGGAGAGGCAGACGGAAUUCCUGGUGUAGCGGUGAAAUGCGUAGAUAUUAGGAGGAACACCAGUGGCGAAGGCGGUCUUCUGGACAGCAACUGACGCUGAGGCGCGAAAGCGUGGGGAGCAAACAGGAUUAGAUACCCUGGUAGUC
rnacentral:rRNA from 1 species